AACGAACGCUGGCGGCAUGCCUAACACAUGCAAGUCGAACGAGACCUUCGGGUCUAGUGGCGCACGGGUGCGUAACGCGUGGGAACCUGCCCUUAGGUUCGGAAUAACUCCCCGAAAGGGGUGCUAAUACCGGAUAAUGUCUUCGGACCAAAGAUUUAUCGCCUUUGGAUGGGCCCGCGUUGGAUUAGCUAGUUGGUAGGGUAAAAGCCUACCAAGGCGACGAUCCAUAGCUGGUCUGAGAGGAUGGUCAGCCAUACUGGGACUGAGACACGGCCCAGACGCCUACGGGAGGCAGCAGUGGGGAAUAUUGGACAAUGGGCGAAAGCCUGAUCCAGCAAUGCCGCGUGAGUGAUGAAGGCCUUAGGGUUGUAAAGCUCUUUUACCCGGGAUGAUAAUGGCAGUACCGGGAGAAUAAGCUCCGGCUAACUCCGUG
rnacentral:rRNA from 1 species